UCUGGCUUUACAACUGACUAUGUUAUGACCUUAGGAGACCUACGUGAAAGGGUUGGAAGCCUUGAUGUUUGAGUAGACAAGAGAAGACUGAAAAGUACAG